rnacentral:rRNA from 1 species
GACGAACGCUGGCGGCGUGCUUAACACAUGCAAGUCGAACGGAAAGGCCCCUUUGGGGGUACUCGAGUGGCGAACGGGUGAGUAACACGUGAGUAACCUGCCCUUGACUUCGGGAUAACUUCAGGAAACUGGGGCUAAUACCGGAUAGGAAUCCUUGCUGCAUGGUGGGGGUUGGAAAGCUUCGGCGGUUUUGGAUGGACUCGCGGCUUAUCAGCUUGUUGGUGGGGUGGUGGCUUACCAAGGCUUUGACGGGUAGCCGGCCUGAGAGGGCGACCGGCCACAUUGGGACUGGGAUACGGCCCAGACUCCUACGGGAGGCAGCAGUGGGGAAUAUUGCACAAUGGGCGGAAGCCUGAUGCAGCAACGCCGCGGGCGGGAUGACGGCCUUCGGGUUGUAAACCGCUUUCAGCAGGGGCGAAGCUUGUGGUGACGGUACCUGCAGAAGAAGCACCGGCUAACUACGUG